rnacentral:lncRNA from 1 species
AACAAAUCAUGCAUGAGGACCAAGGAGGUACGGGCUGGAAGCCUCCCCCAAGAGGUGACAAGCAGGUGGAGAGGCCUGGGAGGGGCUGAGAAAGCCUGCAGCUGUCUGCUAGCAUUUGGUGCCCACUCAGCUUCCUGUCAGCACUUCCUCUCACCAGCACCUGCAAGCCUGGCUGUUUCAGGUAUGAAGGCUAAGACACAGACCACUUCCGCUGCCAACACAGAGACUUUAAUCUCCAGGAAGAACAAAGAAUACACACAUCAGCCCUUCUGGCCUAGAGCCAACAUAGGACACCACCUUCCUCUCCCCCUCCCCAGCACAGCCCAAACAACAAUCAAGUCAAUGUUGUGGUAGGAAUUUGUAUUUUUCGCCUUUGUUGAGAAUACAUGAGAUUGGUAAAUAUGUCACAUGCCUUUGGUGGAAGUACAACUCUUACUACUAUACAUAAACUGUGAGACUGGGUUAGGAAAGAGACAGAGGUAAUGACAGACACGAUGGAAGCCCCACAUCAUCCCAUGGCAAACAAAGAGGAGAUGUGGGAAGCUUGGCUUCAACUGACUGCAAAGUCCCAGGGUUAGCUGCAUAUUUGCUCAUGCACAUGGGUGGUGGGAGGGAGAGAAGACUGCAGAGACACAGAAGGGGGUUCAGGGUGAGGUGAGAUAGAAAGUAGAAGGACUAACACCCCCAGAAGAACGAAUGCCAACUACACCUAAGCCUUAGAUGGACAGAAACCCAGGAAAUAAUUCCCGUGCUGGGGCUGGGUGGGCCAACAGGGAACAUACGCUCCAGGCUUGGGACACACCAAGGACAGUGUUGCUUCUUCUCCAGAGAUGGCUCCCUGCACUAGGCAAAGGGAAGCCCAGAGCAGAGUGGAGACCUUCGGGGGACAUUGGGAGGCUACACUGACUGCUUUCUUCCAGCUCUUCAGCCCUGCCCUGAGGCAGCACGAAGGGAAGGUGGAAAAUGGGCCAAGGGAAAGGAAGGAUCGAUGGCUCUGCAGAACGAAAGGCUGCUGCGUGGGAAGUGGACCCCCGGCCUAGCACGGCCCUGCCUCCUCCAGUUUGUGGACCAGAGCACAGAAGGAAUAGAGGUCUGAGAACAUUGCCCUCCUCUUCCCACCCUGCCCUCCACCCGCCGGGCACCUGGCUUUGUCCCAUGCGGGAUCCUAUCAUGACACUAGAAGAAGCCCCCGAGACAGACUGUGCAGCUCCUAUCCUCGGCUCCAACAAACACAGCAUGCAAAGGGAGUGAAAGACAGGAGGCAAUGCAGAAUGGAUGGGCACAGCGGCUGCAGGGAGAACUAACGGAAGAGUGGCAGGCAGCUGCGGAUGCGAGGCCCAUGCCGCACAGCAGCGCAACGGCACACCAACACAGCCUGGACCCUCCUAUCCAAAACUGAGCUGCGGGAUCAGUGGACUUCUCUAACUCUGGAAAGGCCCUCCUGCCUCCCCCCGUGUUACAUACAGGGUAGUGUGGAGGAAAGUGUUCUGUGGCAGCCUGGGAGUCUUGCCAUGCAGCUCUCAUUUCUCGUGAUCAACAACAAGGGAGGGACAGGCCUUUCAUUAGUGAGAUGUAAAGAGUAGCUACAAAAUACAAGUCUGACUUUUUCUAAAAGGGAUUUGAAGUUGGUCUUUAAACAGACCUCUGGGACCAAAGGCAGGCCUGGUAUGGGAGAAAAGUUUCAAAUAAGGACAACAGUUCCCAACUAAUAUAUACAUAUACAUGUGCAUGUACAUAUACAUGUGCAUAUACACAUGCACUGGCAGCAAGCUACUACUUCCCAACUAUUCUUGCUCCCCUCCUGCCAAAGGCCAGCCUUUCUUGGAGACACCAUGGACACAAAUACCCUUCUCCUCCCCUCAGCUAUGCUAACUUCUCAGACACUUCACCUCUGCCAUUCCCGGCCCCCUCCUUCCCUUUGGCCACAACUCUUUUAAGCUCCAGGCACACGAUAAAUGGGUAAGGAGGAGGUGCCAGCCGUUGUCUUCGGGUAGUGACUUCAGGACUGGACCACGAGCAGCAUUUCUAGUUUUGAGGAAGGGUGCAAAUGAACGCAACAGUAAAGGAAGGGUCAUGGAGAAGCCUGGGCCAGGAUGGAGAACGGAGGAUGGAGGAGUUUGUUGAGAAAGCAAACAGAGGGGAAGAGACAUGAGCUUGGGUGGCAAUGGAGAACAGGGAAGGGAUGGCACAUUCUCAAGUAAAAAAGUAGACUGGACACAGGAACCAGCAAGUCCCAGACGGAGAAGGAAAAAAGAGACAGGAGAGAACAAGAGGGCAAGUUACAGCACAUCACCAGACAUUCAGGUCUCUCAGUAACAGGCACCCCAGCCCCAAGGUCUCCCUUGGACCCAAGCUAGUGGCAAACAGCUCAACCCACCUCCUCAGCAGAAGGGGCAAUCUCCCACAAUCCUUUGCAGGGGGGCGGCUUGUCCAUCAAGGAAUGUCCUUGUUUUUGCCCUUCCUCCCUCCCAAACCAGACGACGAUCCCCCAGUAGCCGUCUCCAUACCUCUGCAGAGCGGCCCCACUCCCCAGGCAGGCAGGCAGGCAGGCAGGCAGGGCUGGGAGAAGUCUCCAGGACCUUCCCACCUCUUCACCCCAUCAGCGACCUCAGCGAUACUUACUUACAAUCACUACCACGAUGAUGGCACAGAUAGCUCCCAGCAUGAUCAUCAUCU